GUGCAGACCUUUCCAGCGAGGCUUAGCCAGCAGUGGCUCUGUUCUUUCCUGUUGUGUCUGCUAGAGAGAUGUGAGGCUGUUUGAGGCCCUGCUGUGACUCUACGUGGCGGGGUUAUAGGUAAACCUCCAACAUUG